rnacentral:misc_RNA from 1 species
AGAGAUUUCAAUGAAGUAGAUCUAAACAAUACACAAAUGUAGUGCUGACUAAUCCGAAAAAUUGCCUUGCAAGAUUAACCGGAAGAACCAGCCAGUGUAGAUUUGGAUGUGGCUAACCAGCUGGGAUGUAAACUAGACUUCCUUUUUAAUGGGUAUAUGCAGGCUCCUUUGUACAGGUAAAAAUAGAUCUAUUCGCGUCUUGCUUCGAAU